rnacentral:lncRNA from 1 species
AAUCAAGUAUCAAUAUAACUUAUGCUAAAAGAGUUUCAAUGUAAAUAAGGGCAACAUCAGUUAAAUGUAAAAAAAUGUUUCACUUAUAUGCUUAAAAGAGUUCAAAGCAAACAAGUAUCAAUCUAACAUAUGCAAAAGAAUUUUCAAUGCAAACUAAUGGUAAAAAGAUUUCAAUGCAAUCAAGUACAAAUAUAAUUUAUGCUAAAAGAUUUAUAUGCAAAUAAAUGCAAAAUUAUUUCAAUGGAAAAGAGAAUUCACUUACAUGCUCAAAAGAGUUCAAUGCAAACAAGUCUCAAUCUAACAUAUGCUAAAAUGUUUUCAAUGUAAAUAAGUGCAAAAUGAUUUCAAUGCAAAAAAAGAUUUACUUAAAUGCUAAAAAGGUUUCAAUGCAAUUAAAUAUCAAUACAACUUAUGCAACAACGUUUUCAAUGCAAAUAAGUGCAACAUGAGUUUAAUGCAAAAAAAAAUUCACUUAUAUGCCUAAAAGAGUUCAAUGCAAACUAGUAUCUAUCUAAUAUAUGCAAAAGAGUUUUUAAUGCAAACUAAUGGUAGAAAGCAUUCAAUGCAAUCAAGUAUUAAUUCAAUUUAUGCUAAAAGGUUUUCAAUGCAAAUAAGUGUAAAAUUAUUUCUAUACAAAAGAGUAUUCACUUAAAUGCUAAAAAGGUUUCAAUGCAGUCAAGUAUCAACACAACUUAUGCUAAAAGUUUUCAAUGCAAAUAAAUGCAACAUGAGUUCAAUGCAAAAAAAAAUUCACUUAUAUGCCUAAAAGAGUUCAAUGCAAAUAAGUAUCAAUCUAACAUAUGCAAAAGAGUUUUCAAUGCAAACUAAUGGUAAAAAUGUUUCAAUACAAUCAAGUAUCAAUUCAAUUUAUGCAAAAAAAAUUUCAAUGCAACUAAGUGCAAAAUUAUUUCAAUGCAAAAGAUUAUUCACUUAAAUAAUAAAAAGUUUUCAAUGCAAUCAAAGUAUAAAUACAACUUAUGCUAAAAUGGGUUCAAUGCAAAUAAGUACAACAUUAGUUCAAUGCAAACAAGUAUCAAUCUAA